UUUCGUUCGUUCGUCGACAUCCUCUGUUCUUGGCUUCUCGCUCGACAGUGACAAACCUACCUCUCGUUCUUGUUGAACUCGAACUUCUGGUUCUCGAAUCGAAUCCCUAAAAUCUCAUUCUUGUUGUUCUUGAAUCCGUUCUCGUUCUCGUCAAUCCCUAGCUUCUCGUCGUGCUCCUAUCGAAUCCCUAACAAAGGUAUUUUCAAUCCUUUGGUUUUUGUUGUCCGUCUAUUUCAAAUCCUUAAUCCCCAACGAUAUUUGGUGCAACAGUGUAACGAAAUGAAGCAGAGCUGAAUGCAUGCUCGAAGAUGGGGAUUUUUAGUAUGAGUUUUUCAGCUUUGUGAGCAAUUCCAUGAAUUUUGUGUUGAAACAACAAAUGGGUGUUUUUUUUUUUUUGUUUCUUGCUUCCAGGACCAUGAAUUUGGAGCAUUUGUCAUGUUUAUUCAAAUGGGGGCUUCUUGAUUACUUGGGUUUUUCUUCUGGUUUUUUUAGUAUUUGUUAUGUUUAUUCAAAUACUGUUUUUGAAGUGAUUUAACUGUGAUGCCAAUUGUCUAAUUAGUGGUGGUGUCCCUCAUUUCAUCAUUUUCUUUAUUAUGUUUGUGACAAUGUGUUGUAUCAAAUGGGUGUUUAUUCACAUUCUUUUCUUUUGUCUCUUGUGAAUGAUCAAUGUGAAGCUAAUGGUUCAAUGGCAAAACCAGCGAUUCACAAGAUAGAAGUACAACACUUUCCUCAAUUAAUUUGGAGUCCCGUGUGAACCAAAACCAGUGGGAAUUUCACUUGACAAUUAUUAUGAUGAUUUGACCAAAGUAGUGGAGGGGAAGGUCACCCCUGCUACCCGACAGAUAGAUCAUUGUCGGAGGACAGGUGCUUGAUCAGUACCGCAAUUGCUUAUCCCCUAAAAUAGUGGAAACACUUGUAUGCUUAGAAGAUUGGCUGAAAGGAUCACCUACACCAUUGCCAUCAAAAGAGGAUCUUGAAGAGAUUGACAAAAUUGAGCAAGAUAAGAUAUAUUUAAUAGAAUAUUAUUUCUUAUUUGAUUAUGACUUUGUUUAUUUUUUAUUUUUUUGCGGAAGUGGUCUCCCCAUAAUCUGCUAACUCAACCCAUAUUAUUUUGGAUGAAGAUUGAAGUUUUACUUUCAUUGGAGUACUUCAAUACCGACAACUUUUAUUGCUGCUACUAUUUUUUUUAAUCAAUGUCUAGUGUUUUAUGAAGUUUCUUUCUGCCAUUGAUAUAGAUUCAUAGGUCCAUGUAGGAUUAAGUGAAAAAGAGGAGAUAAGUAUCUGUUGGAGGUGACUAUAAAAAAUAUUGGUAACAGUUUUAAAUUAUUACUUGUUGCAUCAAAAUUGUUUUGCUGGUUGGUUGAGUUUUUGGAUGAAUAUUUGAGUAACCUAGGCUUGAUAUAGGCACGUUCUGUGAAGCUGUCCAUUUAUGACUUUGUUGGGUGUUUGUGUUCAUAUGGCUGGGUAUUUAUUAGGUACUUAUCUAGUAUGCAGUAAAACUGGCUGAAAUGUUUAUUUUCUCAGUAUAUAUGAGUAUCUUGUAUGUUAAAUGGAAUGCUUAGUUCAUAGAGAUAAGGUUCUAAUGACAUUUUCAAUCUUUGCAGAGUAUUGUUCUACCAGAUACUUUGGGAGCUUAUAAUUGGUCAAUGGAGUUGGAUCUUGAAGGAAGGAUGUUAAUCUCGUUUACCUAAAAGGACGCUACUUAUUGUGAAAGAGAGAAGAAAAUCUUGUUUUGAUGCCUUUCUCCUUUGACAAAUUAUUGUGAAUUUGUGAUUUUAUAUUUAGCUUGUCAUUCCUUGAAAGGGUAAAGUAACUCAUACUUUUUAAUUUGUGGACUUUUCUUGAGUUGGACCAAUAGUUUAAGUAAUAUAAGCAAUUUAAGAUUUUAA